CAGGCACCUCGGUAGGUGAGGCGUCUGCACGGAUACAGGCCACUGACCCCGAACGUCGAGAGACGCCCCGGGUCAGGACAGCUCUUCCCGGACCCAAGGGUUGAGCCCAAGUGGCUUCCGGAUCGCGACCGUCGGCUAAAUCCGGAUACGCCGUGCAGUGCCAAAGCUCCGAACGAGAGGGGUGCCAU
rnacentral:sRNA from 2 species